rnacentral:sRNA from 1 species
AUGACCCUCUGCAAGUGCUUGGGCCAACUCUGACCAGGCUGACCAGCUGCAUCCCCUGCCUCUACCCACGCCAGGUACAAGAUGGUCAUUGAAGCCUGCUCUCUGCAGCCAGACAUCGACAUCCUGCCCCAUGGAGACCAGACCCAGAUUGGGGAACGGGGCAUCAACCUGUCUGGUGGUCAACGCCAGCGAAUCAGUGUGGCCCGAGCCCUCUACCAGCAUGCCAAUGUCGUCUUCUUGGAUGACCCCUUCUCAGCUCUGGAUAUCCAUCUGAGUGACCACUUAAUGCAGGCCGGCAUCCUUGAGCUGCUCCGGGACGACAAGAGGACAGUGGUCCUAGUGACCCACAAGCUACAGUACCUGCCCCAUGCAGACUGGAUCAUUGCCAUGAAGGAUGGCACCAUCCAGAGGGAGGGUACCCUCAAGGACUUCCAGAGGUCUGAGUGCCAGCUCUUUGAGCACUGGAAGACCCUCAUGAACCGACAGGACCAAGAGCUGGAGAAGGAGACUGUCACAGAGAGAAAAGCCACAGAGCCACCCCAGGGCCUAUCUCGUGCCAUGUCCUCGAGGGAUGGCCUUCUGCAGGAUGAGGAAGAGGAGGAAGAGGAGGCAGCUGAGAGCGAGGAGGAUGACAACCUGUCGUCCGUGCUGCACCAGCGUGCUGAGAUCCCAUGGCGAGCCUGCGCCAAGUACCUGUCCUCCGCUGGCAUCCUGCUUCUGUCACUGCUGGUCUUCUCACAGCUGCUCAAGCACAUGGUCCUGGUGGCCAUCGACUACUGGCUGGCCAAGUGGACCGACAGCGCCCUGACCCUGACCCCUGCAGCCAGGAACUGCUCCCUCAGCCAGGAGUGCACCCUCGACCAGACUGUCUACGCCAUGGUGUUCACGGUGCUCUGCAGCCUGGGCAUUGUGCUGUGCCUCGUCACGUCUGUCACUGUGGAGUGGACAGGGCUGAAGG